GAGGAAUAUUGGUCAAUGGGCGAGAGCCUGAACCAGCCAAGUAGCGUGCAGGAUGACGGCCCUCCGGGUUGUAAACUGCUUUUAGUUGGGAAUAAAAAAAGGGACUUGUCCCUUCUUGUAUGUACCUUCAGAAAAAGGACCGGCUAAUUCCGUGCCAGCAGCCGCGGUAAUACGGAAGAUCCAGGCGUUAUCCGGAUUUAUUGGGUUUAAAGGGAGCGUAGGCGGAUUGUUAAGUCAGCGGUUAAAGGGUGUGGCUCAACCAUACAUUGCCGUUGAAACUGGCGAUCUUGAGUGCAGACAGGGAUGCCGGAAUUCGUGGUGUAGCGGUGAAAUGCUUAGAUAUCACGAAGAACUCCGAUCGCGAAGGCAGGUGUCCGGGCUGCAACUGACGCUGAGGCUCGAAAGUGUGGGUAUCAAACAGGAUUAGAUACCCUGGUAGUCCACACAGUAAACGAUGUAUACUCGCGGUUUGCGAUAGACAGUAAGCCGCCAAGCGAAAGCAUUAAGUAUACCACCUGGGGAGUACGCCGGCAACGGUG
rnacentral:rRNA from 1 species